rnacentral:rRNA from 1 species
AAGUCUAUCGGGAAAUCCGCGCGCUUAACGCGCGGGCGUCCGGUGGAAACUGCGUGGCUUGGGACCGGAAGACCAGAGGGGUACGUCCGGGGUAGGAGUGAAAUCCCGUAAUCCUGGACGGACCACCGGUGGCGAAAGCGCCUCUGGAAGACGGAUCCGACGGUGAGGGACGAAAGCUCGGGUCACGAACCGGAUUAGAUACCCGGGUAGUCCGAGCUGUAAACGAUGUCUGCUAGGUGUGGCACAGGCUACGAGCCUGUGCUGUGCCGUAGGGAAGCCGUGAAGCAGACCGCCUGGGAAGUACGUCCGCAAGGAUGAAACUUAAAGGAAUUGGCGGGGGAGCACUACAACCGGAGGAGCCUGCGGUUUAAUUGGACUCAACGCCGGACAUCUCACCAGCAUCGACAAUGUGCAGUGAAAGUCAGGUUGAUGACCUUACUGGAGCCAUUGAGAGGAGGUGCAUGGCCGCCGUCAGCUCGUACCGUGAGGCGUCCUGUUAAGUCAGGCAACGAGCGAGACCCGCACUCCUAAUUGCCAGCAACACCCUCGUGGUGGUUGGGUACAUUAGGAGGACUGCCAGUGCCAAACUGGAGGAAGGAACGGGCAACGGUAGGUCAGUAUGCCCCGAAUGUGCUGGGCGACACGCGGGC